rnacentral:rRNA from 1 species
AUUGAACGCUGGCGGCAUGCCUAACACAUGCAAGUCGAACGGGGCAGCAAUGCCUAGUGGCGGACGGGUGAGGAAUACGUAGGAAUCUGCCCUUAAGUGGGGGAUAACCAGGGGAAACCCUGACUAAUACCGCAUGAUCUCUUCGGAGCAAAGAGGGGGACCGCAAGGCCUCUCGCUUCUGGAUGAGCCUACGUCUGAUUAGCUAGUUGGUAGGGUAAAGGCCUACCAAGGCGACGAUCAGUAACUGGUCUGAGAGGAUGAUCAGUCACACCGGAACUGUGACACGGCGCGGACUCCUACUGGAGGCAGAAGUGGGGAAUAUUGGACAAUGGGGGAAAGCCUGAUCCAGCAAUGCGGCGUGUGUGAAGAAGGCCUUCGGGUUGUAAAGCACUUUAGCCUGGAAAGAAAAAACUUUGGUUAACACCCAAAGUCUUGACGGUACCAGGAGAAUAAGCACCGGCUAACUCUGUGCCAGCAGCCGCCGUAAAAC